rnacentral:tRNA from 1 species
GCCGGAAUAGCUCAGUUGGUAGAGCAGAGACUGAAAAUC